UACGUAGGCAGCAAGCGUUGUUCGGAGUUACUGGGCGUAAAGGGUGUGUAGGCGGUUGGAUAAGUGUGGUGUGAAAUCUCCCGGCUCAACUGGGAGGGUGCGCUACAAACUGUCUGACUAGAGUGUGGGAUGGGUAAGUGGAAUUCCUGGUGUAGCGGUGAAAUGCGUAGAUAUCAGGAGGAACACCGGUGGCGAAGGCGGUUCUCUGGGCCUUACCUGACACUGAGGAGCGAAAGCGUGGGGAGCGAACAGG
rnacentral:rRNA from 1 species